rnacentral:rRNA from 1 species
AGUGAACGCUGGCGGUAGGCCUAACACAUGCAAGUCGAACGGCAGCACAGUAAGAGCUUGCUCUUACGGGUGGCGAGUGGCGGACGGGUGAGGAAUACAUCGGAAUCUACUUUUUCGUGGGGGAUAACGCAGGGAAACUUACGCUAAUACCGCAUACGACCUACGGGUGAAAGCAGGGGAUCUUCGGACCUUGCGCGAUUGAAUGAGCCGAUGUCGGAUUAGCUAGUUGGCGGGGUAAAGGCCCACCAAGGCGACGAUCCGUAGCUGGUCUGAGAGGAUGAUCAGCCACACUGGAACUGAGACACGGUCCAGACUCCUACGGGAGGCAGCAGUGGGGAAUAUUGGACAAUGGGCGCAAGCCUGAUCCAGCCAUACCGCGUGGGUGAAGAAGGCCUUCGGGUUGCAAAGCCCUUUUGUUGGGAAAGAAAAGCAGCAGGUUAAUACCCCGCUGUUCUGACGGUACCCAAAGAAUAAGCACCGGCUAACUUCGUG